rnacentral:rRNA from 1 species
UUUGAUCCUGCCAGUAUUAUAUGCUGAUGUUAAAGAUUAAACCAUGCAUGUGUAAGUUUAAAGACCAAGUAGGAUGAAACUGCGGACGGCUCAUUAUAACAGUAAUAGUUUCUUUGGUUAGUCGGUACAAGGAUAACUUUGUGAAUGAUAAAGCUAAUACUUGAGACGAUCCGGGGAGUAUUUAUACUUUUCGGCCCUUGGCCGCGAGGUUGGGGAGAAACGACAUUCUCUUGUGAAAAAGGAUGCCGCGACAAUUGAGGAAAGCGACGCUUUUAACAAGUAACCAAUGGGAAUUUCUGAUCUAUCAAUUUGUUGGUAGUAUCGAGGACUACCAAGAUUAUAACGGAUAACGAGGAAUUGGGGUUCGACAUCGGAGAGGGAGCUUUACAGAUGGCUACCACUUCUAAGGAAGGCAGCAGGCGCGUAAAUUACCCACUUUCGACCCGAAGAGGUAGUGACGACAAAUAACUCUUGGCGCCCCUCGGGGUGACUUGAAGGAAUGAUUUAGAAGUAAAUUCUCUAAAGAAAUCAAUGGAGGGCAAGUCGGUCCAGCCCGCGC